rnacentral:tRNA from 1 species
UCCCUGCUGGUCUAGCAGCUAAGGAUCCUGUGCUCUCACUACUGUGGCCCAGGUUCAAUUCCUGGCCAGGGAA